UACGAAGGGGGCUAGCGUUGUUCGGAAUUACUGGGCGUAAAGCGCGCGCAGGCGGCUAUCCAAGUCAGUGGUGAAAGCCCGGAGCUCAACUCCGGAACUGCCAUUGAAACUGUUUAGCUUGAGGACGAGAGAGGUGAGUGGAAUUCCCAGUGUAGAGGUGGAAUGCGCAGAUAUCAGGAGGAACACCAAUAGCGAAGGCAGCUCGCUGGGACGUUACUGACACUGAGGCGCGAAAGCGUGGGGAGCAAACAGG
rnacentral:rRNA from 1 species